rnacentral:rRNA from 1 species
CCUACGGGAGGCAGCAGUAGGGAAUUUUCGGCAAUGGGGGGAACCCUGACCGAGCAACGCCGCGUGCACGAAGAAGUUAUUCGUAAUGUAAAGUUCUUUUUACAGGGAAGAAAGAGAAAUUUGACGGUACCUGAAGAAUAAGCUCCGGCUAACUACGUGCCAGCAGCCGCGGUAAUACGUAGGGAGCGAGCGUUAUCCGGAAUUAUUGGGCGAAAGGGGUGCGUAGAUGGCAUAGUAAGUCUUUUGUAAAAAUGCUGGGCUCAACCCAGUAGGGCAAAAGAUACUGCAAAGCUAGAGUAUGCCGGAGGCAAGUGGAACUACAUGUGUAGCGGUAAAAUGCGUAAAUAUAUGUAAGAACACCAGUGGCGAAGGCGGCUUGCUGGGUCGAUACUGACAUUGAGGCACGAAAGCGUGGGGAGCAAACAGGAUUAGAUACCCCGGUAGUC